AUACAGAUGAGUUUUCCUCACUGCCAGCAAUCCCACUUAGACAUCUCUCCUCAGCUACACAAGUGAAGUCAUUAUUUACACCAUCUUGAUUCUCCACCUCAACUACUUUGCAGAUAUGGUCCUUCUGCCCUGAAACUUCAUCGCAGCCUGCUUUCUCAGUAUCUUCAUCCAGGCCAAGUUCCUGAGAUAAAUCUUCAAGUAAACGGCGCCUAACAGAUGGCUUGUGAUCAUUGCCCCACACCCAGCUUUUGCUGGAGAUGGGUCAGAUGCUGUUCUAGAUAGACUUAAUCUUACUUUUUCUGUCCAUCCUUUUUUUGGAGUCGGAUUUUGUUUUCCUGAACUACCAUUCCUUUGUUCUGCUGCUUUGUGCAAAACUCUCCACUUCUCUUCCCAAUAGCUGUCAGGCACCAUGUUUAGAGGAGUUUUGGGAGAAAUAGAAUCAGAUGGAAGUGUAUGACUUCUCACCACCAUUGACUUACUAUGGUUAUAAGCCCCACCACAACGUGGGGAAGAGGAUGAGAUACUAGGCCCCAAUGCAAGAGGCUGCAAAGACUUUGCCUUACCUAUAAGUUUUCUCAGAUCUAUAUUCUCAGGAAACUUUAAUAGUCUUUGGAGACAGAUAGUAGCAUUUUCAGUGGAAAGUAGUGAAGAUCUCAAAUAAAGUAUCAUAGA
rnacentral:misc_RNA from 1 species